CCUACGGGAGGCAGCAGUGAGGAAUAUUGGUCAAUGGCCGUAGGGCUGAACCAGCCAAGUCGCGUGAGGGAUGACGGUCCUAUGGAUUGUAAACCUCUUUUGUCAGGGAGCAAAGGGCGCCACGUGUGGCGCUUUGCGAGUACCUGAAGAAAAAGCAUCGGCUAACUCCGUGCCAGCAGCCGCGGUAAUACGGAGGAUGCGAGCGUUAUCCGGAUUUAUUGGGUUUAAAGGGUGCGCAGGCGGAAUGUCAAGUCAGCGGUAAAAUUUCGGGGCUAAACCCCGUCGUGCCGUUGAAACUGGCGUUCUUGAGUGAGCGAGAAGUAUGCGGAAUGCGUGGUGUAGCGGUGAAAUGCAUAGAUAUCACGAAGAACUCCGAUUGCGAAGGCAGCAUACCGGCGCUCAACUGACGCUCAUGCACGAAAGCGUGGGUAUCGAACAGGAUUAGAUACCCUUGUAGUC
rnacentral:rRNA from 1 species